rnacentral:rRNA from 2 species
GACGAACGCUGGCGGCGUGCUUAACACAUGCAAGUCGAACGAUGAAAGAGAAUCCGAUCUCUUCGGAGUGAAGAAUCUCUGGAUUAGUGGCGGACGGGUGAGUAACGCGUGAGCAAUCUGCCUUACACAAAGGGAUAGCCUCGGGAAACCGGGAUUAAUACCAUAUGAUAUCUAUUAACCGCAUGGUUUAUAGAUUAAAGAAUUUCGGUGUAAGAUGAGCUCGCGUCCCAUUAAUUAGUUGGUGAGGGUAACGGCCCACCAAGAUAGCGAUGGGUAGCCGAUCUAAGGGGAUGACCGGCCACAUUGGAACUGAGAAACGGUCCAAACUCCUACGGGAGGCAGCAGUGGGGAAUAUUGCACAAUGGGGGAAACCCUGAUGCAGCGACGCCGCGUGAGCGAUGAAGGCUUUCGAGUCGUAAAGCUCUGUCCUAUGGGAAGAUAAUGACGGUACCAUAGAAGAAAGCCCCGGCUAAUUACGUGCCAGCCGCCGCGGUAA